GCUGGGUGUGGUGAUGCAAGCCUGUAAUCCCAGCUACUCAGGAGGCUGAGGCAGGAGAAUUGCUUGAACCCAGGAGUUGGAGGUUGCAGUGAGCCGAAAUUGUGCCACUGCACUCCAGCCUGGGUGACAGAGCAAGACUCUGACUCAA
ensembl:misc_RNA Metazoa_SRP Metazoan signal recognition particle RNA